AAGCCUAGUCUGCCCCUCCUGUUUUACUGCAGAUUUCCGAGGCUUGCAGCCAGCAGCAUCGAGAGUCUCUAGGCUGAAAUUUUAUAUAAAUGGACGCACAAGGUUAGAUUCUAGUUGUCGUGGUUGUGUUUGUUCAUCUUGUAAUGUAUCUAUGUAACGUACCAAAGUGGAUUUGUGUGCAUUAUUGCAUGUAAUAAGCACCCUUGGAUGUCUCAUCAUCGGUCGUGUUGGUCCUGUCAUGAGCAUGUUGUGAACCUCCUUAUGUCACUCAGGCCUGGGCGAAGCAGGCAGGAAACAGCCACACUGAGUCAGAGUGUGAGAGUGAGGAUGUGUGUGAAAUUCAGAUAAAAGAAUAUACAUAGAGGUGAAAUUGGAUAGUUGAACAGCACAGCUAUCAAUGUAUCUCAACAAUCAUCUGCAGACCUGCAACCUGCCUGCUAGAGCAUCAGCAGAUCAUUUAUUAUGACAAUGCAGAGUCAGCUGUUUGAGCUCAAGUGGAGGUAGGCACUCUGUGGCAAAAGUCACACACCAACAUGGGUGUUCCUCAGGAAAGAAACAAACCUGUCUUGUUCCAGCACUAUAAUUUGGGGUCUUUGUAGCAAUAGCUCAACCUGACAUUUAUGAGCGCAGUUGUAAAACAAUAUGUAUCGACUGUGGGAUCAACAGCUGCAACACGUAUCCAAACACCGAGACAGGAAUGAACCGGUCAAACAAAUCAGACUGCAUUCUCUAAACACUGGACAGUUGAAGAGAGUCAAAAUCAUGCAAAAAAGUGAGAUAGGGAGUUAAUCCAAGGACAGUAGGCAAAGAGUAAAUGGGAAGACAUACAGAUAGAGGAUUAGAGAUGCAGAUAGAGGAUAUAUUCAAAGAAAGUAACAGGCAGAGGACAUGCAGGAGUGAGAGGACUCUGGCCCAUAUGCAGCAGUAAGCUGCCAUUGCAGGCCUUUUGGUCACGUUUUUCCCUCUGUGCCUCUGUUCACUGAAGGGACAGUGCAGCAGGGAGAGCAAGCAGACACACUCGCACACACACUCGCACACACACACAGACACACACACAAAUGCAUGCAAAGCGGUGCCUUAUUUGCAAGGGAAAGCUGGUGCCCCUGCAGCAGAUUGUUGCCAUGCCUCGGUGCCUUCCUUGCUGUGGGCCCAGACAAUGACCACGCAACACCGUAAGACCCCUGAACAUCAGAGCAGGCUGAGCUCAGGGGUUGAGACACAAGUUUCCUCAGACACACAGCUGUGGACACUGUUUUUGUUCGGGGUGUCGUGACCUUCUUGAAUGACCAGAUGACUGGGGUAAAACUUGAAGUACAGAUUCUAAUAAAUAGAUUAAUAAAUGUUGACACUUGAAGUUUCAGCAACAACAAAAUUAUCAUAAAAAAAAAUCAAAAUAGUCAGCUGAACCAUUUGCACAAAGACAGCUUGAGUUCCAAACUUUUUUAACAGGGAUUUUCAAACAUUAAGGCUCAUAACUUCAACUCAGUCUGUAGAUUUCCAGGUUAAGAAUAAAGUUUUACUUCCUUCACCCUCUUCCUGUGUAAGGGUCUGCAUCGACCCGUUUUUGAUUUUAAAUACUUUUAAGAACCACUUAAAUAAGUUUUUUUGCAUAAAGACUAUUUGACUUUGUCAGGAACCUCUAUUUCAUCAAAAUAAAAAAUAAAAAAAUUAAAUUGACUAAAUUUUAAAAUGCUCUUAUUAACAUUAUGGCACUUGUCAUGUUGGGGUCGCUGUUGACCCGGUUAGAUCAAAUUCUAAUAAUCGGAGCAAAAACUGAAAUCAUAAGUGCACCGUCAGGCACCACACUGACAGUCAGAUCCUCCUCCAAUCAUGUGAGAUUUAGGAAAUUCAAAUUUUGUUUUUCCCUGCACAAAAACAGCCUCAGGCAUGUCCAGACAUGAGAGAUCAGUUCAGUAUAGAUGUCUGUGUGAGGGGUAUACUGACAAAGAAAGGCCUAGAGGACCACAACAAAAAAUAUUAUUAGCAAUAUUUUCAUGGAUAAUGAAGCCUAACAAGGUAACAGAGAGAUGAGAACCGAAGUGGAUGACAUGGGUCAAAACCAACCCUUAACAUAGUGGGCGCGUAGUAAAAGCUAACACAGGAGGAAGGUUAAUGACAAAUUGCAUGAUGGCUAGUAGAUAGGGAGAGAAAAGUUGGUGAAUAUUGACUGAACAGCAGGCUGCUGUAUGUAAACUCAGAUUAAAGCUGGUGGUCAACACAGAAACACAAAAUAAAUCAAACAUCCACUCAGUUAAGAGUAGUAAGGCUAAUACAAUUUGGGGCUUUCAAGCUGUCUAUGUUUGACUUAGUAAUCAGCACUUAGACAAAUUCACAAGAGUUACAUUUAAUUUCCUUAAGCCUAAUAUUUGUUAUAGGGACAAAUAUUUGCCAUAGUUUCCCUCUGGUUCUUUCAGUGCAGUAAGAUUUAAAUAGCCUUCACAAAAUAGCUGCUUCACAGAGCUGAUGAGACGUGUCGAUGAUAAAGUAAAAGUACAGCAAGGAUUCAUAGAUGCAAUCAGAUCCUCAAGCCCACAGGGUGACUUUGUCACUGUGGUGCUGCUAAUAAAGUUAUUUUCAAUCUCAUUUCAACCAAAAUGGCUGCCAGUAGUAUCCUCUCUUAACCUCUGCCAUACCUUCAUGUCUUUCACUCCUUCCUUUCCCCCCAUCACAAUACACCUCCCCACCUUGCAGUACAAGAACGGAGGGGAGAGAAAUAUCCCCCAAUUCCUGGUCUCCACAGCAACAGCAGUCAGAUGACCUUGUCUCCGACUUGUUCUGCUGAGUCAGAAAUGGAGGGAUGGGUGAGGGGGAUGUGAUGAGGAGAGAACAGGAGGGAGAGAAAGAGAGAAGGACGGCACAGAAAGAAAGGUGGUACUUAUUGUUAUUCUAAUAGAUUCAAGCUGGUAUAAUUGCUCAUUGAGUCAGUGCUGUGUCAUACCCAUUUACAUAAGGCUGAUUGUUUCUGUUAAAGAGCAGCCGUCCACAUAGAGCUCAGCAUAGAAGGACAGGGUCCUGAAUCAAUGGUGUGUAUAGUCGGUGAAUUUACAAAGUAUGACUUAAAGAUGGAGUGUAUGAUUCAGAGCUGCAGAUAAACAUUAUGCUCCACGGGGCUCCAGUGUCACUGACCAUAUGUGGUUACUAAGGAAAUGUGUGAAACAUGUGUCAGCAGGACUAAAACAGUGUGAGUGUGCGAGGUGCUUGUUGUUGCAUCCACUGUGUGUAUACUAUAUAUACACUAUAAAGACAAAGUAUGUGGACAACCAUACUUUACAUUCAUAAAUGACUGAUGAAAAGCCUCUGGUAAGGCUUUUCAAAAGGUAUUGGACUGUGGUUGCAGGGAUAUAGUCCAAUCCAGACAGAAAACACACUUGCAUUUAAGCAUUGUGAUGUGCUUGACUUGCAGACACCACUUUAGUUCAUCUCAAAGGUUUCUGAUGGGGUCAUGGUUCCAUGUGGGAAAGUCAGGUUUUUCCACACCAAAUUCCAAAGAAACCAUUGCUUCAUGGACCAUGCUUUGUGCACAUAUUGCUGUUACGCAAUGCUUGGAUAAUUUCAUGCUCAUAACUGUCUGUACAGGAGUAUGUAAAGAGGCCAUAUUAUGCAUAGACAGUCAAAAUUAAGCUUAGAGUGGGCGGGGGGUUGUAUUUGUGGGCUUGCAUGCUCGUGAAAGUGUGUGUGUGAAGGUGAUCCUGGCUAAUCCGGUUUUAUAAAUGUCUGACAUAAUCUGUGCUCCACUCGCAGUGUCCAGAGCAGAAAGAGGAAAGGAGACGAGACAGAGAGAAGAUGGGAGGGGGGUAGAGAGUGUGGGGGGAAAAGAGACAGAAGCUAAAAAACGAAGAGGGCUGAGAUCAGAGGGGACAGAUGAUGCGAAGGCAGAUGGGGGGAAAAGAUGAUAAAACUACGGCGUGAGAAGGAAGAGAGCUUAAAAAAGAAAUAAGACAAUAAAUGAAAGAGCUGAGGAAAGAAGGAGCCAGUUGGGCCACAGAAAAUUCCUCUGGGAUUAAGUGACAAAAGAGUGAGACAAUCAAUGAAGUUUCAUUUAUCAUGCAAUGACAGAUGUUUGGAAAGGGCAGGAGAGACUAAAGGUUGGGGGAGUCAAUAAUCAGGAAUUUGCUAAGGAUAGCAAUAAAAGCAUAAAAAGAAUCUAUAACUGUGGUGGAUUGGGGUGAAUCUAUGAACUGUUGGCACUACAGAAUAGGAUAUGACAGAAAGAUAUUACAGCCUAGGGGAAGAGCACGAGUAACAUAUGAAGUUGCUUUGAUUCAUUCAAACACUAUAUUACAGAAAAGAAAGGAAAGUUGACAGUGUGUCAUCCAGAUUUUUUUUGACCACAUAUAUUGUAGCUUCCUCCUAAAUAGUCUUCUGAUGCUGCACUGAAUCUGAUUUUAAGGCUUAAAACAACAUCAGGGUUCAUGUCUUUGUUUUACAGGGUGCAGAGAAAUGAACAGCCUUAUUGUCGCUUUCUUUGAGGUUUUUACCCCAAAUUUUACAUUUGGACAAUACACAAUAAAUGACCACUAUCAAGAAUCAGCAGCAGGAGAUUUCUAGUCAGAAGACAUUAUUUAAGCAUGCAGAGGAUGAGAUAAGCAAAGAUUGCUUUGUCCACUGGGGGCGCCAAAAUGAGGACUAACCCAGAAUUCCUCACAAGAGCUUUAAAGUCCCACUUCGAUUGUUUUUUUGUUUUUUUUUUACUACUUAAAGUGUUAUCUGUUGUCUUUAAAUCGUGAUUAUGAAGUUUUAGCCGAAAUUGCGUUACCUGUGUCAUUUUUAAGGGCUUUUCUUCUGCAGAGCUCCAGUAGCUCAUAAGCAAUUCCCCCCAUGAGUCGUGGGCGGAGUCAGCGCUGCUCUGCACACUCCUCUUAAUGCUAGCUUGUAGCCUAACAUUGCCGGUGUAUUAAAAGUAGCAGGUAACAUAGGAGCUAUUCAGCUCUCGGACACAAAUGUCUUUAGGGACACGAUGAAAGUUAAAAUCAUAAUUAGCUUUCUUGCGAGCAUUACAAUCCGCUAACGCACACGCUUGUUCUGUGAUUGUCCUGUCUAUUUCUCCAAGUGUGACAUGCAUAGCAGGGCUCUGGGGGUGGAGCUUGGAUUUGCUACGUAGGAAAUCUAACUGUAUCUGAACCCGCUGUUUGGGUCUGCCAGAGAUUCACGGCGAUUUGAAUGCAGAAAUACUAAGAAAUGCAAUUUUGCACUUAUUUUUCUCAUGAUAUGCCAUAUGAACAUGUAAAAAACAAGAAAAACAUGAUUUUGUGCGUAGUGGGUCUUUAAAUAAUCAAUCCCACGGUAUGCAGAAUCCACAUCUAUACAGUUAGAAUCCCCUGGUCUUGGGCAGAAAGCAGUUAGGCCUGAUGUGAUUCUUAUUUAUCGGGCACAGUAGAAUCCCAAAAAACAACAUUAGCAGUGUGCAAUACAAAUGAAUGUCCAAUGACCAACUAAUGUCGAACCAACAUGAACAUCCUGCUAGCUUAAGUAUCAAAGGUACAACUACCAAUUCAUGUAGUAUAGUGAGUUUACAACAAGGUAAAUUUGCUGAUAAAUUACAGAUUGAGUGGGUUUGUUAAGUUGGCUAGCUUGCCAUAUAAGGCUGCCUCUAGCUAACUCAAGCACUAUGAUAGAUUGUGUUGUUUACAGUCAAUAAUUCAUAAGAUAAUUAACACCAUAAAUCUACAGUGGACAGGUGACAUAAGGCUCGUUUACUACGUGCAGUCGAGUGUGAGUUUGUCAUUGCCAAGGAUGUUUUCUUUCACGUAUUUAGUGUUGUUUCCGAUACUUCCGACAUUAAAGUCUAGCGAAAUGUAAAUCCUGAAUGAAGAAGUAGAAAAUUUAAUGUUUGAGAGCUUACGCUUCACUGUCUCUGUGGGUUAGUGUGGGGAUAAUAAAAGUCUUUAAUCUGCAUGGAGCCUUUUUAUAGCAGGUAUUUGACAAUGUCAAAGAAAACCAGAGCACACUGGUUUCUAAUGACAUUAAAGACAGGUCUAUGCCAGUAGAGUGUGCCAGUAUUCCAUGCCAGCCAGCACAAAACAAGGGCUCCAGACCUUAGAGAGCUAGUGUAGCCUUUAAUCACUCUAUUAAUCACACCUCUGCUUUUUUCUGCUUUCAUAAGGCAAAGUUCAAAAAAUGAAGAAAAAAAAUGGCUGCUUUGAAUAAAGGAGAAAGGAAAAUACUGGAGCUGUAGAGUUGGAAAAAGGUUCAAUUUUCUUUGAAUUCGCGUAUCUUUGUAUUUUUAAAUUCACACAACAAAAUGCACACGAGUAAAAAAAGGUAAACACUCUUAACACUUAUUUAUGAAAUAUUUAACUCGAUCGCACAAAUAACCUCAACUCCUCACGAUAGCAAAUUAUUCUCUGACACUCCUCUCUCAUUUCAUCUGAACAGCUGCUUCUGAAGCAUCUCCUCUUCCUCUGCUGUCCUCCCUGACCCCUCCCCCUCCCACCCGCCUUCUUCCUCUCCUCCCCCUCCUCCUCCUCUGGUAGCUGUCCUUUCAGCACCACCGCCACUGCAGCAAAACCCUGCUCCAGUCUACCUUUUUUCCAGCAUGUUUUCCCUGUGUUUUUUUUUCACUCCACCUACAUCUCUGCUACAUAAUACCACUUACAUGACAGUCUGAGUAAUCUCUACAAACACUGAACCACCAGGAACACCACAUUUCUCAUGUUAAACUGCAGCUUGUCAGCCUGCUUUUAAAGGGUUUGAUUGUUCGAAUCAAAACUGCUGUUGAGCAGUUUUAUUGUCAUGCACCAAAAGAACAUUAGCUGCUUUUUUCUUAUUCUCAUGUCACUGAUUCCAGUAAAUCAUCUUUUUUUACCCUCUACACAGGAUAAUAACUGAAAGACACAUCAGAGAAACUAAAUAGCAUUUAAUGAAGUCUCUCGGUAGGCAAAGCCAUUAGGAGGCAAAUAUCCAUCCAUUUGUUUUCCAUUUUAUGUAACAGCUUUUCAGUGAGUAUUUCUUCUCAGUGCGCACUUACAGAACACUUAAACCUCCAUUAAGCCUUCUAAUAUGCUAAUAAUGCAAUAAUCUGUCAUUAAAUCGUCAAAUGGUUCCUGUAUCCCUCUUGCUCUGAGUUAGACAAAUUCGUAGGAUUGUGUUUUGACAGCAGACACAAAAAAUAAAAGUCAGCUUUCUGUAUAAUAACACUAAGUGUUGUCAAUCUCCCCUGACUUUGAAACCUGUUAUUCAGUUAAUGUCUUCAUUUUCUAACCGAAAAAUUCUGUAUUUUCAUCCUGCCUCAACAGCAGCUCGAACCCUUUUGUCAGUCAGUUUUUUAUUAUUAAGUUUGUGCUCAUCAAUCUUCUUUAUUUGUUAAGUUGGAUCUGGUAAUUUUCAACUUUAAAAUAUUUGCUGCUCAAAUUGCAACUCUACCUCAACUCUACCUGCUUGCUGCCGAUGUUUUCAAGUAUAUUUCCAGAAUUAGACUCAGUUAUUUCAAACACUUUAAAUGGAUUGAAUUAAAGUUUCAUUGACUCACUUCUUGGUAUUUCUCAAAUUUGUCUUACUUUUCAUCUGUCUUAUUUAUGCUGUUUUUGUAAUCUGCAUUUUGUUCUCUCAUUUCUUGUCCCCUCCGUCUUGUCAACUACCCAGUUAAAUAAAGUUUAUAUAAAAACAUUCAUGCUUUGCAAUCAGGUUGUUCCUCUGAUGUUGUUUUCUUUUACUGAAGUCUCUCAAGUAAAAAGAUGAGCGUCUGAAAAUUCAGCUAUCACUGCCUUUCAAGCAUCUUUUCUCCAUCCAAGUUUCUUUUCCAUCAGAGUUUUUUUUCACACUCUUUACAUUGCAGUUCAGUCAUUUAGGCUGAUAAGAUCCAAGCUCAGGUAGAGGUAGGUAUAUGAAUUCACUCCAAUGUGCGCUAAUUUCAAUAAUAAAGGAGUCACACCCUGUGAUAUCAACAUGUUAACAGGACAGUGAGAAAGGCAUCAAUCGUAUAAGUUUAAGAUGUGUACCCACUGAAAGUGGUGCAGCAUGUGUGAAAAUCUGUCCCAUUUAUUUAAUAAUGCAACCAUCCUCUUAACUGCGCAAAGCAUGCUGGGAAACCUGUCUUAGAAACGAAUAUGGUGGUGCAAAACAUAGACAUUAUAUAAGUAGACGCCUUAUUACAUGCUGGAGCGUAAUCCAGCGUCGCCGCCAUGUUGGAUGAGUCUCUCCACUCCAGGCUCGCUCAAGAGCCAAACAGGGUUAAUGGAGAAUGAGCAACUAUGUUCAUUUUUUUGCACUCUAUGGUUGAAAAAAACUGAUGCAGUAUUGAAACCAGAUCACAUAGGAUUACAUUUCACGAAUAGGAUUGAAAGAUAAAUUGUUUUAUUUGUAAUGUGUGACAUUAUCCUGUGUUAUGGCUACAAACCUGCCAUUGUAACAAACCAAACAGUCUGAAAAUCGGGCAGAGAUUCGGAGAGUUAUUAUUAAUAUGGUUGGGCAUUCCUACCUACCUUAAUGCACUGGAGGCGCAUGGGGGACCCAUCCAAGAUGGCGGCUGCGCUGAUACGAGAGCUCCAAUUGGUAGCAUCAGGCUUUGAGGCAUCUACGUAUAUUAUGUCUAUGGUGCUAAACUGCUUUUCUCCCUCAAAAGUGAAAAAACAGACCCCAGAAGAUGUUGGUUUAAUUGAAAAGACUCCUAAAUUCAAGGCAACAAGUGACCAGCAGAGGUGGUCAAUAAGUCUAUGUGAGCUCUGGGUCUGCACUGUUACAUGUCUGCUUCUUUUACACCAAGUUUGUGGUUAAAACAUGUAAAUAACUACAUUACAUGAUCUGUUUGGCAAGGUGAUCUUAUAAGUAGGGUUGGGUAUCAUUUGAUUUUGAACGAUUCCGAUUCCUCGUUUUGAUUCCGGUACCUAACAAUUCUUUAUUCCGAUUCUUUUAAAAGGCAGGAUAUUAAAAAAAUGCAUUGUUUAUAUGAGGGUGCUGACCGGAGUUCUUUUUGGAUGACAUUUCUGAACUUCUCCAUGAAUUUUUAAAUUAUAUUCACUUUUUAAGAAAUUUACUAUGAAUUCUUCACAGGAUUUUGUUGUCAGGUCAUUUGUCUAUGAAAAUGCACAAAGGCUAACGUUAGUUGGAUAUAUUUAAGUUGACCCACCGUACACAGUACAAUUAGUUUGUUGCUUCAAAGUUAGCAGAAGACAGAAGUAGUUUAUUGUUUCACUUAUCUGAUUCUGGCUGGUUAGAAGGCCGGUAAGACGAGCACUCGGGUAUUUCCCCUCCAUGAAUCCUGAGGUGUUUAAUCCUGUUGGCCGUUCACCCUCCUUUACAUGAUAUUACGUGUUGCUAAUGUUGCACUGAGAUCAGAGUUCAUUCUUCGUGCUAAAGUUAGCCAAACUAUUGACCGCAGCCGCUGUGGGUUGCACUGCACUUUCUCUCUCUGAGUGGCUUCGUCCUUGUUAGUGUUUGGCGGCUUCUUCUUCAUUGGUGUUUAGCGGCGUCUUCCUCGUUGGUGUUCGGCGGCUACUUCUUCCGGUCGGCUGACUCCAGCACAUAGAUAUAUAUAUAUAUAAACGCUAGAUUGCUUACGCACGCUGUUAGCCAAUGGAGAUCGACGUCCGCGCAUAGCGGCCAUUUUGCUACGGGACGCUCUUCUACUCAUCAACAUUACAGUCUACGGUGUAUGUAGCUGUUAAAUAACCAUAGAUUGUUUAAAUUUAAACCGAUUUUCAAACGGUUUGGUUUUUAACAAACCUCAGAGUUUUAGUGAUGUUCUGACAUACUUAAAAAUAAUUUUAACCAUGGAUUUUCAUAAAUAAACAAUAAGCAGAUAGGUAGAGCAAUAGCUGUACACACACAAGGCAGUUAUAUUAAAUCAUUUAUAUACAAAACAUUAAAUCAUUCCAUGUCGGUUAUAUUAGUAAUACUUCUAUUAUAGGGAUAACUAUAAUAACGUAGCAAUAACAUAUAUAAAUAUUUAUAUUCAAUAUAAAUUUCUGCCUCAUGUUGCCAUUUUAGAUGUUUUUAACAAACCAAACAGCUUGGAAAUCAUGUGCAACUUCAUUUAUGUUGAAACGAAAGAGCAUUUCCGCCUCUCCAACUAAUUUAAAAUCAACAAAUGGGUCAACUUUGUAAUACGUACUUGGUCUCACUCACAGCAAGUCUGUUGGACAAGCUGAUAAACACAAGCACAUCCACAAAGGCUGUCACUUAGACGAAAAAUAUAGGCUGUCAUACAAGCAAUUAAAAUCUCGAUUGUGGUCUCAGUCUUGACAACUCACGCAAAGCGACUCAAAAGUUAGCCCUGUGUGCAAAUAGCCGUGGAACAACUGUGCUGCACGAUUAAGUCUUUUUUUUCUGAAAGAAAAGCUGCCAUUUCAAUAUGUGGAAAUUGUAAAAGCGGGGUUGCCUCUUUUGCGUCUCAGCAAACAUCAACCCCCGCCCCCGCGGUUUCAGGCAUUAAAAAUGUGAAAUACAAACUGAUACUUUGUUCCUAAUCAUCCUGUUUGCUUUUGGAUAUCAUAAAGAGAUAUCAGAGUGAAUUCCAGUCUAUUACAUAAAUGUGAAAAAAAAAACAACAACAACAUAUAGGCACUUUAAAAAAGGGUCACCUCUUGAAUAAAGGGGGUCUCUGUGAUAAAGGAAAAUGCCUUUGGAGAGCUUUGGUUAAUCAGCAGAUUAACAGAUGAGCCUUUCACCUGACAUGGAGCCUGAAAACAUAUUAAAUGCUCCUCUCCAUUUUCAAGGAAUCGCACAGAUUUAUUCUUAUGCUGUGAUUCACCAACCAUCCUUAAUUCCCCUUCCUGUGUAAGACAGCACAUUAUGCUAAAUUUGUCCACUCUUGCGGCCAUUUUGCUGACUGCCUGUAUCUGCUUUGAAGCUGUUUGCUUUGUGUUUUUCAGGUCUGCUGAGCUUGUGGAGUGUCACGCUCACUUAUCUUUAAGGAAAAGGUUUGCUAGGUUCAGACAGUGCUGGCUGUCUGUUAUCAUGGGUCAAGUGUUUUUAUUUUAUUUUUCAUAGCUUGCGUGCGCUGGCAUAUUUGCAGGCGAGCAUCUUUUUUCAUCCUGAUAAGUGACCUGUCUUGUGGAGUACAGCAAGACACCCUAACCUGAUUUAAGAGACAAGAUAGUGUACGUGAUUGUGUGCAUGACAGAUAAUUUGUCAGGAUCUUGUGUUAGCUGAGUGUGGCUUUGUAUUACUUGCUGCAUGCACAUGUGAGCUGCUGUAUGUGUGUAUGUCUGUGUGUGUGUGUGUGUGUGUGUGGUCGGUACAGUAAGCAGCCUAGAGAGCGGUGAAAACAGUGAAGCAGGGCUUGAGUGGAGCCAUGUGCUCAGUGGGGGCACUGGCCCUUUAAUACGUAUCAGCCAAUCAGGCGGGGGAUGCUGGGAGCAGGCCGUCCUUGGGAACGACCUUGCAGGGGGGCCAAGGGAUGGAGAGGGAGGAAGGAAAAGAAGGGGCAGAUAAAGGAGAGGAAGAGAGGAGCUAGUAGAGAGUGUGCAGGGAGAAUGGAGGAUCUCAGAUGAAAUGAAAUAGAGUGAGAAAAAAUUUACAGCAAAAAAAGAAAAAACGUGUAUAAUAUUUAGCUUAAUUUAAUACUCCAAGAAACAGACAGGACACAACAAAUAGGAAGGUAGUAAGAUGCAGACAGAUAAUAGUCAGAUGAAUGAGAGUUAGUUGAGUACAUUAAGAGGAUUAAAAGUUCGACUGGUAGUUCUGCCUCACAUCUCUCUCUCUCUUUCUCUCUCUAUCUCUCUCCCUCUCUUACAGACAUGCAGACGUCAUGCUGUCCAGAUUAAAUUGACAGCGUGCCACGCUUCUACUCUUGCAUAAGAAUUUCUCUGAAAGGGAUGAAAGUGAGGAAUAAGAAUAGGACUCUGAUUUAAAUUUGUGGUUGAAGUUAAGGGAAAGAAGAUAAAGGAGUCUAUCUACGAUUGCUCAAGACUCCUUUUUUUCCUGCCAGGAAACUGGAACGCUGCUUAAAAAAAAGAAUAUAAAACCUCAGAUAUUAUUAGUUGCUUUAUUUCAGAGACUUAAAUGAUAUCGCUUCUAUGUCUGUACAGUCUGUACUGAGUCAAAGUCAGGAGGUAAGCUUAGCAUAACAUUAGGACCACAGAGAGGAAGAAGCAGCAAGUCUGACUCAGCCAAAAGGUAAAAAAAAAAAAAGAACCUGCCUUAAGGAACUCCAAAAUUUACUUACAAAAACAAGAUUCCUCAUUUGUAAAGUCUAGACUAGCACAGAAGGCAAAAGGAACAGUCUGACCCCUUUACAUCUGGCUAAAUGCAUGAUGGUUAGAUACAUUUUUGAGGACUCUGCUGCGCACACUUAACAUCCUACAUACUUCAAAUUUGGGGUGUCCCAAUAUGAUAUUGAUAUUGGAUAUCGGUCCGAUAUCAGCAAAAAAAUCAAAUAUCGGAUUGUAUUGGCCUGCUUCUAAAAUCCCAAUAUCAGCACUCUGAUACAGUCCAUCCCAGGCUCUGCUCUAGCACCUCUAUCUAGCAGCACCCAUAUCCAACAUGUAGAGCCCACCUGAUCACAACAACACUGUGUACUAAGGUACUAACAAGGUAGCAAGGAGUAGGAGUGAUGUCGGCUGUGUGGCAGUAUUUUUCAUAAAAGUCUGAAAAAGACGUUGCAGCUGAGUGAAAAACUUGUUAUGAACAGGUUUGUGCUAAUAUCGGAUCAAUAUUGAAGGCUACAAUAUCGGUAAAAAAAAAAAAGGUUGUAUCAGGACACCCCUACUUCAAAUUGAGAAUACUUGCAAACAUGCUUUAGUUUAUAGAUUGCACACCUCUUCCUUUAAAAAAAUAUAAAUUAUGUUUUUUUCUACAGAGAAAAGAAAAUGGAUCCCCGUCUUUUUUGGCAGCCUGACACUAAAAAAAAUAAAAGAAACUAUAUUUGCUUUGGAGUAAACCAAGCUAUCUGUUUCCUGCUUUUCCCCAUUGAUAUGUCGAGCUAUGCAUUUAUUUCCUCGCUGUAGCAGUUUUAUGAUGCGUGUUAUGAGUUGCAUAGAAUUUAUUUUAUCAUUUGCCAUCAAAACAGAUAAUGUAGUUUAAAUUUUGUCUAAUUAUUCUUUUAAGAGGAGUAGAAGGCGAUAUUUAACCCUUGAGUGGAAAUACACGAUGUUCUCCCUGUUUUUUUUUUAACAUGUUAGACACACAUGGACUGACAUAUUCACACAUGCACUAACAGGCUCCUAUGGACCUAUAGAUGGAUGUAAGAUGAAUGGGCUGUGCUUGGACCAAAGUCCUGAGCAGUUUGACGGUUCAGUGCUUUGCUCAAGGCCAUCGAGGCUUUACCCACUUGAUAAACUGCUGCCUCUCCAGCUGUCACUCCUGGCUGCUGUACCUUUGUCUUUCUGGGAUUUAAAACAGUGACGCUCCUCCGGUUUCCAAACUGCAGUCCUCAACCAUUUUCAGAUGCUACUUUUCAAACUAGAGUAGACGUUUUUUUGUGAAGUUGAUUACAACCUAGUUAAUCAAGUAACCUUGUGAUGCAUUCACUCGUUCUGAGUAAGGUCUCCUCUUUAUGUGGUGUCAGCAGCAGCAGCAGCAGGCGCAGCAGUGCUGUGGCCCCACCAGAUGUGUUGCGGUGUGUGGCCCAAUUCUGUUCCAGAUGACAGAUGACAGUGUUUGCAGGUGUGUGUCUAUGUUUGUGUAAGUAUGUAAGAAAUAAAAAUUUAAACCAUGGUGCAUCUUAAUAUGUUAGUGCCUGUUUGAGUCAGCAUAUUUGAGCAUGCACGACGUACGCCAUGUGUGUUCUUGCUGUGGGAUAAGUGUGUGUGUGGGUGUGUGUGUGUAAAACUGUGAACCUGCUGCUGUGAAAAUGAGUCAAUGUAAUGCAGUAAUGGCCAAAGCUGUGCUGGCAAGGUAACCUCAGUUAUGUUGUCAUUAUGACUGCAUCCUGACGCUACAGACAUGGGACCCCACCCGAAUAAAAAGCAAAAGCAAACACACCCACGCACACACACAUAUAUUUGAAGGAAUAAUGAAACAAAAUACGGCAGUUCAUUUGUCUUGAGUAUGUAUGUCGUUUGUGCGUCUGAGUGCGCCUGUUUCUGCGACUUCCUUGCCCUCGGCUUGUCCACUGCGUGCGUAGUUUCACUUUAAUCCAGAGCUCCGUUCUGACAGAAAGAGGCUGCUGUGUGCUCGUUACAUGGACAACUCUCACAGACGCUGUUCCCUCUGUGGGAGUGUGGAGUGUGUGUAUAAGUGUGUGUGGGUAAUUGGCUCUCCAGUGGACACUGCUUUGUCCCCUCUGUGAGCACUUACUUGUUCAAUCAGUUACAAUCUGUAGCCCAAAUGUUAGCCGAUGGUCACGAGCCAAGAGCCACGAUGCCUAAGACUCAUACUGUACAUAUGACAUCAAGCGUGACUUUAGCACUCCUUAUUCAACGACUAAAGAAGGAUUAGUACUCGUCGUAUUCGCAUGGUAGCCAUUUUCCUCUGAUAAAAUACUCAAGGUGGAGAGCUUGGAUGUUGGCAUACUGUGCUGCUGGGAUUCUGGUUGAAUAAUGUAUGCAUGCACAGGUGUGGUAUAUCUGACAUUUCACUUGCUAAAGACACUGCUUGUGUAAACCUGGAGGAUUAGUGGGCCGUGUAUCGAGGUUUUAAAGCCAACAUAUUUGAUUAAUCUAUAAGCCAGGGAUGCAUGAUAUUGGAUUUCUGCCAUACAGACAUUUUCAAGCUCAUGUCAUACUGAUGCAAGCACAUCUUUAGCCUGUGGAAGCUCACAUCUUCAACCACACUGAAAGGCUGGUAAUCAAUUUAAUUUUCUCUCAAGCUACUUUUUCAUUGAUUGCUUUCGUAGCUUUGUCAAAUGACAGGAUUCACUAGUACAAACACCAUUUCCUUUUAACUUCUUAGAAAAUCCAGGUUUUGCAUAGGAUGUUAGCUCUUGAGAUUUGUUAUUUAAUUAUAAGUGUUAACACUUUAAUGCCUGAAACCACAAAUUAAGGCUAGAAAAUUUGAAUUUUUUUGUUUAUUUCACUUCCUACUGAAAACCAAAAAAAUCAAAAUAUCCUUAAAAUUUAACAAAUAUAUUUAUUUAUCUCGUUUGAUACAUUAGAUGUUUUUGGAAACUAAUAAACUACAAGAGGACAUUUUUAUUAUUUAUCAGACUGUAUUCAGGUGUUUUUUUUUAGUAAUUUGCUGAUCAUAUUGAUUUGAUAGAAAUAUAUAAAAGUAUAUAUCAAAUAUGAUACAAAAGGCAUUAAAGGGUUAAAGGAGUUACAAACUUUUGCUCUAGUGUGCCUGUGGUUUCUGGUGCUUCUGCAGCCAGCCUCAUGUGGGCUCUCAGGGAACUGCAGCCUUAGGUGUUUCCACAUAGGCUUAAUUUCUAAAGACUGGAGGUUGCUGCUUGGCUCGAACAAGCAUUGCAGCUACAAAUGCAGUAAAAAGGUGCCUGAUGAAGUAGUGAAAUAGUAAAGUAAGCUAGCUUAUAUGAGCUUUCUCCCCUUCCUCUCUUCUUACCAAAAUGAUUAACGUUUAUUUCAGUUCUUACAGCUUAAAGCAAGUGAGAAAACAGACACAGUGAAUUGAACAGUGAGAAACGUAAAAUACUAUUUUAUUUACGCUAGAUUUAAAUAUGUAUGAGUGUGUUUAUUUAUGUGCUGUGUAUGCCUUGGUCAACAACCCCUGUUAUUCAGUCAUGAGUUUGUGUCAAAUUUAUUUAAAAAGGGGCCUUUAAUAAAUACCACCACUCUAGAAAUCUUCUGCGCACCCCUGCCUCUGUGUAAAUAUGAACUUCUGAAUGGUAAGGAGCUGUCAGGUCAACCUUUGUCAAAUGACCCUGAAGACUGCAGAAGGCUGUCCUGGCAGCAACCAGCCUUCCCCCCUCCCAUCCCCCUCCUUUCAUCUCACUCCUCAUCACAUUACUCAUCUGUCACGCAUGCUGCACACACAUCAAGGCGGGAUGCUCACGGUACAGGGGCAUCUACAUGUAUGCGUGCAAUUUAUGAAACAUCCAAUGACACCAGCAAAAUUAUAUUCAGGGGUCAUAGUCAGGAGGUAAAUGAGGGCAAGAGAAGAGGUAAAAAAGGAUUUUCUAUGCGGUUCACAUCAAACCAUACAACCUUCCUCUAUCAUCUCAAGACUAUUAACAACAUCCCAUCCUGAUGCAGAGAUAAUGGUCGGUGCAUCUGCUCUGAGCUAGACUGAUGCUUUGCGGUACAGCUAAGGGUUUUUGCCUGCAGCCUACUGCAUGGGUACAAAUGAGAAAUGGGUUACACUCCAAUUUCAUUUAGCUAACUUCAUUGGGAUUGCAUUUGUCUGUCCAGGCAAGCAUUCGUUUCCUUGCAAAUUAGUUCAAUGUACUAACAUGUGACUGUCUCUCUUCUAUUAUCCAUGUAUGCAAUUUCAAGGAGCCCUUCAUCAGAUGCCCUAUCAGGACUUUGCACUCCCCUGAUUAUACUGAGUAUUAGCAUAAAUUAGACUGUGAGCACUACAGUAUCCCAGCCUUUGAAAUGAGCUUUUACACAUCUAUAAAUAGUCUUGGUUUCUUAAAAAAAAUAGCUUGAGAUUUUUUUUUUGUGGAAAGAAACCAGGUUAUUUGAUGUUUUUCAUGCUAACGUCAGGUUUAUUUGAAAUUUCUUUUAUAUUUAUUGCCUCUUUGCUCUAUGAUUGCUACGAUUUUUACGAUUAUUAUCAUUGGGUUAAUUGCUAAAAGCCCAAGGUACGCCAACUGUGCGGACAUGCUUCAACUACAGGUGCUAAUAAAGGAAUCUAGCUUAAGUUGCAAUUUUCACCUCUCUCUCUCUCUCUCUCCUGUGUGUCACCCAUCCCUGUGUCCUCUACAGACUCCAAUUUGUUCUCUCCGUCCUCACCCCUUUCCCACACUCAGCCCUCUCUUUCCUCCUCCCUUUUUUUCCCUUGCGAACAAACUCAGUGCUGAGUCUAAUUUUAGCCGUAGCACGUCAGUUAAACUCAACUUUUUUUGCCCCAGAUAUGUAAGGUCUAAAUAUGCAUUUACACGCAGAACAUCUUGCGUGCGUAUGUGUGUAGCUCGUGCGAACAGUUGAGUUACGUGAUGAGGAGUGAGAUGAAAGGGGGGAUGGGAGGCAGCGAGUCUCCAGGGUCGUUUGACUGGGGUGACCCUAACGGCUGAUUGGCUAAUUCCCUGUCCUCUGAGCCAUCCCAUGAUGCUUAGAGGAAGGAUUGCUCUCAAGGUUACGGAUGCCAACACAUGUAGCUAGCUGUACCACUGCACACACACGCACUCAAAUACACAUAUAGACAAGCAGGCAGAGCCUUAUCCUUGGCAAAGCCUUGGGGAUUGUCACAUUUCCAUUUAAACUGCUGCCAUCAUGUUAUAGCAGUAAAUCUGAGGUCAUUCACAUCCUGCAAAGAGCAAGGUGAGAGACGGACAGAAGACUCUGAGACUGCAGCAUGAACGGUUGCUCUGGGAAGCUAACAUGCAAAGAAAAGGCAUUUACUUUGACUCACAUAUUUGCCCAACACAAUUUAAUUCAUAUACUCACUUGAAUUGAUUUAUUGAAGAAAAAGUGCACCUUUAAACAUAAAGGAAGUACAUUGAUAUACUCUGAUAUUUUUAUACUUUUCUAUCAUACAACAAAAGUAGGUUUUGAUGUUGUCGCAAAAAUGUCGCAGUUUGGAUUAAAACGUUUGUGUCAGGUCACUCUCAGCGAAUCUUUAGCCAUAUUUAUGUUGCCCUUCAGGAGCCAAAAGUAGCUUCAUAUCUCUGUAAUUAGCACAUGACAACUGUGGACAGCAUGAGUCAUCUCAGUGAUAAUUUACUUAAAGCUCCUGUUAGGAGUUCUUGAUUGGGUAUGAAAACAGAAAAAAACUUGUGCUUUUUUGUGGCCUUCAAAACCAAAUGAGACCAAAUGAGCAACAAGAUUUACAAUUUCAUUUUAAUUUAAAGCUCCUGUGAGGAAUUUUUGUCUAUGUUGAACUUGGGACCCUCUUAGGUCAAAGUGUCAACCCCAAGACAAUACUACUAAUAAACUUAUACGAAGUCGUUUUCUUGUGAAAGAGAUGUUACUUGACAGAAAAUCUUCUCCUGUUGUCUUUAUAGUAGAAUUUAUCACACUCUGUGGAUUUUGGCAAAAUAUUGAAAAAAGUAACAAAGGCUGUUUUUUUUUUUCAGUGCACCUACCCCCUUACAGCACUUACAGGCAUUAAAAAUUAUGAUAUAGAAACGGUCAGUCUUGCUGUUGAUGGUCUCAUUUGCUCUUGUACACCAGAGACAUGCAGCGCUCGCUUACGUCAGGCUGUUUCAUAACAAAUCAAAAACUCCUCAUAGGAGCUUUAAUUUUUAAUGUCUGUGAAAAAUGGGACAGGAAGGGAGCCGGGAAAGACAUUUUGAUGAAAGAAAUUGUAAAAGAAAGAAAGAUAUGACUUACACAUAAAAGAACAAAAUCAGCACAGAUGUAAGAGACACUACUUCGCCCACAGGGGGAGCCAAGAUUGACAUAUGUAGAGAGUUGAGGAGUUAUUUGACAAUAGAAUAGACUGACAUUUAAUCUGGUGCAUUUUUAAUGGUAUACAAGAGCACACAAGAUUUUUAAGGACAAGACUGACCCAUUUUAUUUUGUAUAUUUGAAUGCCUGAAACUCGUACAGGAGGGUAGGUGUCAGCUAAACAGCUGAAAAUUCAACCAUGUUUUUUUUUUUUUUUAAUUUCUAUGUGGCUAAUACCAAUGAAUGAUAAACCUAAAUGUCAAAUAUUAGAAUUAUAAGAUUGUAUGUAAGUCAAAAGUCAUUACGAACACGUGUCAGACAAGAUCAGUAAAGACCGCCAAAACUAACACAAACCAAAAGUUCCUACAAGCAGCUUUAAGAUGAGUUUGCUGAUGACAGCUGUUAGAAACAACUCAAAAGCUUUUAGCGAAAAAAAAGAAGUAGUACCAGAGUUCAGAGGUUAUUUUUAAAAAAGUAAUAGAUUGGACAUUGAUCCAUACAGCAUGUCAAUAGUGAGUGACUACAGAUCAUUACAGCAGCCAGAUUACCCUAAAUGCAGCACUGCUUGUAAGCUGUGUCCAGCUGUUUGAGAAUUCUAAUGUAUUAGCCACAUUAUUCAGCCUGAAGACUCUUGCAGCAGCAGCAGAGGUCAAUGAGGAUUAAUUUUUGCCAUAUUACAAACUGAUGACCUGCAUACUGGACCAAUGUUAAGAGGUUAAACUAAAUGCAGGCAGCUUUAAAACUGAGGAGCACGUCUUUAAUUAGGACAGACAUCUUUGUGCCCCUGUGACAUUUGCUAACUCUGCAUGAAAAUUUCAUUGAUAGAUUUAAACCUUGGCUCUCUGUUUCCCUGAGAAUUAUGGGAGCUCUGCGGGUGUGGCUGCUGGCUUGAUCAAAUUGAAACGAACAUCUGGACAUACCCUGGCAGGAUAACAGGCAGAUAACACACAUGAACACAUGCACACACACACAGGCACACACAACUCAUUUGUUUGAGUAGCUUUAACCCACAAAUAAGUCAUGAUUCAUUAGAUUAUGCUAUGUUAGCACAUUCUAAAAUUGCAUGCAACUAAAUCAAAGCUUGUUUACUCAGACUGAAUGAUCAGUCGGGCGAUUCAUCACUCUGUUAAAAAAAGAGGUUGUUAUUCAAGUGUUUCCCUGGCAGCCAUCUGUAUGUACUGCUACGUCUGUGUCAGAUUGUGUGUUUGUUUAUGAGACAGCAAGGUUGCACGUGUGCCCAGAAAUGUGAUGUUUGGGAUUGAAUGAAGUGAGGGAUGAUGAAGGGGAGGGAGUCUGGAUGAGUACCCGAGAGGCACUCAGUCGUUCAAAUGUUGUGUCAUCACUGGAGACUGAAACAUCUGGUACUAUGCAAAGCUGUGCUGGCCUUGACUGACUGGUUUUACUCAUUUAUUCACUCAGAAAACAUAGAAUCAAACAGAGACAGACAGAGAGAGAAAAAAAACUGGCUGAGUGGGAAGUCUGUCUCUCUAAGUGUCAGGAAAUUGUAGGUAGUUGCCUUGGCCAUUUCAUUCUAAUAAACAGCUCUGAAUUAUUCAUCAGAAAGUGGUGUGUAAAUGUCAAUUUCGGCCUGAUUGGAGGAGCUUUUACAGUCUUUUAGCCAGAGGAUGGUUUACAGAGACCAUUUGCUCAGCCUUAGCGCAUACCUGCUCAGGGCUUAAGAAACCAGUCAUAUGGGGUCAGGACACUUUGUUGAUUUUUGGGCUUUACAUGUUUGUGCCUACAGACCACAAAAUCUGACUUAUAUCAUUUGAAACAAAAAAUACAAACCCGAAUUAUUCAGUGACAACACUGCCUGGUGGUGAAAACAUCUAACUUGGCAGGAUUUGAGGUGUUUUGUUCUUUUUCAAACUAACCACCAUUACCAAGUGUCAUUUGGGUUUCUGUCAUGUCCUGUGCGAGCCGCAAUUGUUCUGACAUUGCUGAGAGAUUGCCAUACAUGAUUGCUUGUUUGACAGUUUAAAUCGUACAAUGUCCUACCAGUGACAGCUUGCUUUAUCUUACAGUUCUUAAAGGCUUCUACAGAAAAUCAGAACAAUUAAGUUAUUAUAUCUGUCAAAAUCUGACUUAUUUUCCCCUAUAUGACUGACGAACAAGUUACCAAGAAAGUGGCUUUUAACGAUAGACAGAGAAAAGGAGAAACCUCAUAAAGGAUGAACAUUUCCUGACAUGUAUAUUUACAGCCAAGAAAAACAAAUAAGUGUUUUUGGUGAAUAAUUCAGAUCAAGGAGUAGCUUAAAAUAUAAAGUUGGAUAUGUGCAAAAAUGUAUUGCCCUUUGUGCUGAAGAUGAGCCCUGUCCCAAUUUCUCCCAUAGAAAUACUGAGAAUGAAUAAUCAAACACUAAAUGGAUAAGUAUUUCUGGAGGGACGACCGUUAUAACCUCUGUGAGAGAUCCGUGGACUUCGAUAAUUUAUGCCAAGGAACAUUGAGUCUGUUCUAACCGCAAAUGUUAGUCCAGUUUCUGAAAUACAUCAUCAGCUGGAUUCCCUGUUGUUGUUGUUCCCUGUUUGAUUUAAUUUGUUUCCAAAAUGGACAACCAGUUCAGGGACAGCGAGUUAAAGCAGCGGAUCUCCAGAGAGGAAACAAUGAACAUUCAUGAUGUACUUAAAGGCAAAGCACAUUGCAAAUGAGUGACAUACAGUAUGUAAGGGAUAAUGUGGAGUUAGCCUGUGGUUAUGUGCAAAAUAAUCUGUGACAGUGUGAACAAAACUCCUUAGUGUAAUGUCAAGAAUUUUCUUUGGUGUAUUAGCAAGCUACCUACAGACUGAAUAAAAAAAUACUAUAUUGUUGAUUUAUUUAAAGGAGUUCUCUCACUUUUAAGAAAUGGGCUAAAAUCAAAAUUGAUUCAUUUUUAUGAUAUACAAAAGCCAAUAAGACCACCAGCAACAAGACUGACUGUUUUGAUAUUGUAACUUUUAAUACCUGAUGUGAGGGGUUAGGUGGAGGUCUGACCGCCUUAGAAACAGCCCUGUCAUCACUAUUUUCACAAACAUAUUAACAAGAAAUGACACAUUUGACUUUUUCAGAGUCAGCAGAGGGAAUUAUUUAGUAAAAAGAUACUGUUUAAGCAUGUAGAUGGUAAAGACUGCUUUGUCCACAGGGGGCGCCAAACUAGACACAAGCCAAAAGUUCCUUACAGGAGCUUUAAAAAUUAUUCAUUUUUACAGUUUAUUUUUCACUCAACCAGCCCGUAACACUACCAAACCAUAUAUUAUUUUGUGGUUCGAGAUUGCUUUGUGUCUGUUAUCUUCAAUCUGGUCAUCAUCUCUUUUACUCAUUGGACUGUUUGACCGCUGACCACCCCCCAUAUGGAAAACAGCUGCGAAGCACCUGGACCUGCAUUCAUUAUGAACAGGCAGGAAACAUGUUUAGAGAGCGGAACACGACAUGCAAAAAUGUCACCCAGCUGGAAACAGAGCAGAUGUUGCAGCUUUGUGAUAUACAUUUUGGCUAUUCAGCUACUGAAGCACACCUGGAUGACAGACAUUUAUAUCUGCGUUUUUAUUAUUAUAUAAAAUUAGAGAAAUCGGAGGAGUUUUCAGAAUCUGGUAACAUAAAAAAAGACUGAAAUUUGCAUGUCAACUCAGUCGUUGAGAUAAGCUUUAGAGAUCUGUUGAUAAACCUAAAAAAUUUCAUCCUAGAUGUGAUCUUAUGGUCAAAAAUGCAACUUUAAGCUUUGUAUGAGUACACGAUUCAUUCACUAUCUACAUAUCCACACAAUAUACCCUAAUGCCUCUACCAAAGACGCUUAAUAUACUGUUACAUACAUCUUUAUUUGAACCCAUCUAUCAACCAGGACAAUAUUUGUCUUUUGACAGUCAUCAUCCCCCUGAGUAAUGCUGUCCUAAUGCUCAGUUUUAUGAAUAAGUAUGAAUGUACGUCACUUUUUAUUGCAUUCCUCUGAUCAUCCUUAUAUAAGCAUAAAUAUCCUCCAAGUGAAUGAAAAUCCUGAGCAUUAGUUUUACGACCCUCAUCAUUUUUCAUCUCAUGCUGCAGAUUGAAGCAUAUUUCUCUUCUGCUGUAUUAUACUCGUGUGUUAUGGAGCUAUACUUCAUGAUGAAUUAAGGUCAAAUAACUCCAUCUCCUCUCUGCCUCUUUAUCUCAUCCUGUCCAGGUGGAGCACCUGCUUAACAACGCAACAAAAACCUCCACAUCUGUGGGCUCCAACCCUCUGCCUGUAUCUGCAGUGCAGGCCUGGCUUUGUUUGAGGAGGAGAACGCACAGCGGAUCCAGAGGACUGGAGCUGAGACACGGCACAGCAUGAUCAUAAUAAGAGGACUUUCAUGUUGCUGGGCAUGUUGGAGACGAGGGUAAUAAUGUACCAGCAAGUAAGAAUAAAAAGAGAAAAUUAAAAAAAGAGGAAUGUGAGGAGAGUCAGAGCGCCGUUAUGAGAAAGUUCUGUCCACACAGAAUAUCACAGAUCAUCAGAGGAGUGAGUCAAAGAACGUGUAAUAUCUCAGCCGCUUCACACUUUCUUUCUGCCAUGCCAUCCUCACACACACACACACACACACACACACACACGCGCACACUUACAUUUCAACACAGGAAGUAUGUUUCGCCCUCUACUAAAUAAUGACAGAGCAAGUUACGAUCAUGUUUAACUGAAUUUGUGGGUAACCAUGUGAGCUCAUGGUGAUUUGAGCCCACCAAGGAGGACAAUUAAAGGCCAUGCUUGACAUUCCAUCUCCCUGAAUGAGAAUAUGUUGAGACACUCAGAGGGAGUCACUCAGCAGGUACAGAAGAAUGAUGCAACCUGAGCUGAUGGCAUUAAAAAUUAACCACCAUUUUAAACCAACUUGCAGCUCCACUGCCGCAGGGACAGCAGCUGCAAAUGUCACAAACACAAACACACAUGGAUGCUCCUGGGCCGAACACUCGCUGUUCACCCAAAACACACAAUCCUGCUCUUUGCUUGUCUUUGACUCACUGUUUACAACAUUAACUUAAUUAUCACCCUUGAUAACACCCAGUGUGUAGUGGCCUGUAGAUCCAAUUCUGGUAACACUUUACAAUAACAAUAAUUUAUAAAUAGGAAAUAGAUAGUUUAUUAAUGUUUAAUCAUCAUUUAAAACAGCAUAUAGACCAAUUAUAAAUGGCAAAUAGAUAGUUUAUAAAUGUAAGGUAAUAUAAUUUUCAUUAAUUAUUACUGGACUAUUGAUUAAAGGUUUAUAUAGGGUUUAAAUAUUGGUUGUAAACAUCUAGAUUAAAAUGUGUGUCAGUAGCACUUUGUAAAUGAUGAAUAUUUGUUUUUAAAACAUCUAUAAAUAUUACUUAGAUGGUUAUUGUAAAGUUGCAGCUGGCGUUUGUAAUACUUUGUAAAUGAUGAAUAAGUGCUUUAUAAACCACCUAUAAACACUACUUAGAUGGUUGUUGUAAAUAUAGGGUUAGAGAUAGGGUUAGGUUUUUAAAAUUGUAAAAUGUACAAUUUAUUGAUGGUCUAUAUGCUAUUUAUUGAUGAUGAUUCAACAUUAAUAAACUAUCUGCUUACCAUUUACAAAUGGUCUAUUUACCACUUAUAAGCUAUGGUUAUUGUAAAGUGUUACCCCAAUUCUUUAUCUUUACUGACAAAAUCUCACACUCAGUUUGUCUAAACUUUUUUCAACAGCUUGACUUGGUCCAGUAUGACCAGUUUAUGGUAGCUAGUCAUGCUAGCGAACAGUAUUCGUUACUGAUUUUAUCCUCAAUCUGAUAACUGAGUCAGUCCACCGACAGCAUGACUCAGCUUUACUUGGACUAAUAUUACACAUUUUUUUUAACCUGGAAACCAGACAAAUCUGCAAGCUCAUGUUUUAUUUGGAGAUGUGUCUGCUGCUCCCCUCCCUCUCAGACAGAUCUGUCUCUGUGAUAUGGAGCAGGUUUAAGCUCCUCUGGGGCAUUUUUGUAAACAACAAAGAUGGCUGCCACUGAUAUGGAACAGUCAGAAUCCCCUGUUGUGUUGGUAUUAAAAAAAUGGCAGUUCCUGUCAUGUACAAAUGGUUUCCGAUGGCCAAAAUAGUUUUAAAAUUCGAGUUAUGUGGGACAAGAAGCCUUAGACUAUGAAUUAGGAUUAGGAAAUAUUAGCUACUGAUAUGCCAGUAAACGUUUAUUUACCCUGGUUUGUUGUCCCUUCUGGGGAAAUGUCUGUCUGUGCCUGUUGAUAAUAUGAAAGGUUUGAACCUUAUCACAUAUGAGGAGUCUCCUUGUGAUGCUAGGGUGGCUUGCUUGCUAGCUGGACAUUAAUAUUGGAAUCUGAAAGUCUCAGUAUCAUUUAAAAGUGCCCUAAAGGGACAUUUUGGCAUAAAAUUGAUUUAGGGUCAAACACACUGUAACACCAAGUUAGACACCCAUUCGAGCGAUGAAUGUUGCCGACUACUUGCUUCCCUAGUUAUACCAACUUUAGUAACGACCGCAGGAUAGCAAUACACAGCGGUCUGAGGAGCCACACAUAAACCUCAACCAAAACACCACUCUAUAGCCACAAAUAAUGCUCAGAACAGCACCUAACUUCAUCAACAGAACAUAUAGGGUCUCAGCCACAGCACUAGCCACCAAACAUCUUUUUACCUUUGCCUAAUUUCUUUAGCAAAGAGACUAAACACUACUAACCUGCUCUCUUCCAGCAGCCGCUUGUUUACAGACUACAGCGGGGUGACGCAGCUCAAGGAAGAACAUUUAUGAUCAUUACUUUAUCAUUUCCUUGAAGUUAAAAUCAUCAUAUUAAUCGUUUUGCACUGCAGACUGCCUUACUGUCCUGAAGUCCCGCCACAAACAAGAGGCUGCUGGAAGAGAGUAGGUGAGUUGUGUUUAGUCUCUCUGCUAAGAAAUCAGGCGAAGUUAAAAGGUGUUUGGUGCAAAUUUAAAAAUGUGUAGUUUAAUUUUUCUGUUGUAGGUCACCAAAAAAAUACAGUAAUCUUAGUCAGAAUAUAGUCGGGUUUUCACAUUUACUAGGCUGUUUUUUUUAUUCCAAAUAUGGGCGAGACACAUGUUACAGUGAGAUAUUUUGGUCUCUUGUUGCUACACUGAGUCUCUGACCUUUAUUUGGCCUUGUAAGCCUCUUUUGAACCUUUGUGUUCAUAAAUUUUUAAAGACAAACUUUUCUCAAGCUUUUCUUGCUUGCCAAGUUUUCCCACAUUCUUCUUUUGCCAUUUUGGCCUCUCAUUGCCACAUCUCAAGGACCCAAUGUCUAAGUUUUCAAAGAACAUUUGGAAACAUGUUACAAACAAAUUUGAACCAAUCCGAGUUGAGCCAGGCCUCCCCCAGCUGUCCACUGGCCUUGUCUGCCCUCCACCUUCAUCUCCUCUUUAAUCCCCAAAGCCUCUCUCCCUCUUUCUCUCUCUCUCCCUCUCUCUCUCGUCCGUUUCACAACCCA